rnacentral:rRNA from 1 species
AUGGCCACUCACCCAAAUUUCCAUGCUAUUCCAUUUACUGGGUCCGUGGAGAACACCGAGUUUAGGUUCAGUAGCUUGUACAUGCACCACAUUUAUUCCGGACCGAGCCCAAACCAAUCAAACAUCGUAGCUGCAGAUGCUACCACUGGGUGGGGCAAGACAACAGUUAACAAUUGGACAAUAUAUGAUGGGGUUGGCACCGACGCCAAGCUAGUGGCCCGUGCACAAGGGCUGCAUGUCUACGCUGGUAUUUGGCACAAUACCUUCACCAUUGUGUUCGAGAUUGAAGGGUUCAAGGAAAGCACGCUGCAGGUAAUGGGAGCAACUGUUCAGACAGGUGAGUGGUCUAUUGUCGGGGGAACUGGUGAGCUCGCGAUGGCCUCUGGUGUUGUAAACAAAAGGGUGCACGGGAAAACAGAUGGUGGAGACAUAAUCGAGCUUACCAUCCAUGGCUUCUGCCGCAAGCAGAUCGCUCCCACGAAGGCUGGUCCAUGGGGUGGCAAUGGUGGUUCUGUUGUUGAAUCUGAUAAACCCUGGAAGAUAGAGAGCAUCACCAUCCUGUAUCAAGGAGUAAUUGGUUCACUUGAAUAUUCUUACAUCAGCCAAAAUGGCAACAAGCGCACCGCAGGUCCUUGGGGUAGUAAGAAUCCCAACCGCGCCGAGAUUGUGCUGGGCCCUGGGGAGGUUGUGACAGCAGUGUCUGGAACAAUUACCAAACAUAAUAACCUCGAUGUCAUACAGACACUUAAGUUUGUCACCAACAAGAAAACACACGGACCUUAUGGAAAUACUGAUAAUGCAAAAGUUGGUACUCCUUUCAGCACUGUCGUACCAAAUGGCAAAACAAUUGUUGGCUUCUUUGGGCGUACUGAUAUGAGAUACCUGAACGCACUUGGUGUUUACGUGGCCUAG